GACGAACGCUGGCGGCGUGCUUAACACAUGCAAGUCGAACGGAAAGGCCCUGCUUGCAGGGUACUCGAGUGGCGAACGGGUGAGUAACACGUGGGUGAUCUGCCCUGCACUUCGGGAUAAGCCUGGGAAACUGGGUCUAAUACCGGAUAGGAGCCAUUUUUAGUGUGAUGGUUGGAAAGUUUUUUCGGUGUAGGAUGAGCUCGCGGCCUAUCAGCUUGUUGGUGGGGUAAUGGCCUACCAAGGCGGCGACGGGUAGCCGGCCUGAGAGGGUGGACGGCCACAUUGGGACUGAGAUACGGCCCAGACUCCGACGGGAGGCAGCAGUGGGGAAUAUUGCACAAUGGGCGCAAGCCGGAUGCAGCGACGCCGCGUGGGGGAUGACGGCCUUCGGGUUGUAAACUCCUUUCGCUAGGGACGAAGCUUUUUGUGACGGUACCUAGAGAAGAAGCACCGGCUAACUACGUG
rnacentral:rRNA from 1 species